UGGGGAAUUUUGCGCAAUGGGCGAAAGCCUGACGCAGCGACGCCGCGUGUGCGAUGAAGGCCCUUGGGUCGUAAAGCACUGUCGAUCGGGACGAAAGCUCCCGGGCUAACAUCCCGGGAGAUUGACGGUACCGGUAAAGGAAGCACCGGCCAACUCUGUGCCAGCAGCCGCGGUAAUACAGAGGGUGCAAACGUUGCUCGGAAUUAUUGGGCGUAAAGCGCGUGUAGGCGGCUCGUUAUGUCGGCUGUGAAAGCCCAUGGCUCAACCAUGGAAGUGCAGCCGGAACUGGCGAGCUUGAGUCCUGGAGAGGGUGGCGGAAUGCCCAGUGUAGAGGUGAAAUUCGUAGAUAUUGGGUAGAACACCGGUGGCGAAGGCGGCCACCUGGACAGCGACUGACGCUAAGACGCGAAAGCGUGGGGAGCGAACAGGAUUAGAUACCCUGGUAGUCCACGCCGUAAACGAUGAGCACUAGGUGUUGCGGGUAUUGACCCCUGCAGUGCCGACGCUAACGCAUUAAGUGCUCCGCCUGGGGAGUACGGCCGCAAGGCUAA
rnacentral:rRNA from 1 species